AUUUGAACGCUGGCGGAAUGCUUUACACAUGCAAGUCGAACGGUAGAGGGGGCAACCCCUUGAGAGUGGCGAACGGGUGAGUAAUAUAUCGGAACGUGCCCAGUCGUGGGGAUAACGUAGCGAAAGUUACGCUAAUACCGCAUACGAUCUAAGGAUGAAAGCGGGGGGAUCGCAAGACCUCGCGCGAUUGGAGCGGCCGAUAUCAGAUUAGGUAGUUGGUGGGGUAAAGGCUCACCAAGCCAACGAUCUGUAGCUGGUCUGAGAGGACGACCAGCCACACUGGAACUGAGACACGGUCCAGACUCCUACGGGAGGCAGCAGUGGGGGAAUUUUGGACAAUGGACGCAAGUCUGAUCCAGCCA
rnacentral:rRNA from 1 species